rnacentral:rRNA from 1 species
UACGUAGGGGCCCAGCGUUGUCCGGAUUUAUUGGGUGUAAAGAGCUCGUAGGCGGUUCAGUAAGGCGGGUGUGAAAACUCUGGGCUCAACCCAGAGACGCCACCCGAUACUGCUGUGACUUGAGUACGGUAGGGGAGUGGGGAAUUCCUGGUGUAGCGGUGAAAUGCGCAGAUAUCAGGAGGAACACCAGUGGCGAAGGCGCCACUCUGGGCCGUAACUGACGCUGAGGCACGAAAGCGUGGGGAGCAAACAGG